GAAGGAACGUUGAAGACGACGACGUUGAUAGGUCGGGUGUGUAAGCGCAGCGAUGCGUUGAGCUAACCGAUACUAAUGAACCGUGAGGCUUAACCUUACAACGCCGAAGGUGUUU
rnacentral:rRNA from 3 species